GCUUGGAGAACCCCCAGUCUGAGGGCAACAAGACGCGGCUUCGGAAGGACGAUUGGGAAGAAGGACUGAGAAGAGGCCCCUAACGCAGACACACCUUCUAAGUGGAGGAGUGGAGAAAGAAUAAAACUGAAAAGGCAAAGCAGGAGGGGGAGCCCCGGGAACAUUCCAGAACCUCACUGCCUUUGCUGUUCUCUGCACGCUGGCCACCGCACCCACCGAGAGCAGCGGCCCAGAGGCUGGACUAGCCGGUUAGAAUCGGUGUUGUGCUCACCAGAUGCAGGACCUUGGUUACACAAUGAAUAGCAUUCCAGGAGCCAGUGUCUCGUUCCAGGGACCCCGCAUGUCCCUCCUGCCACAGAUGGAGAAAGCAGGGCCCUCAGCAUGCAGAGAACAGAGUAAAGCUGACCCGAGACCUCGCGGAAAGGAAAGGAGCCCGGACAGGCGAGGAGCAGCUCCUGGCUGCAGACAGGACUUUCCCAGGAGUUUGGAAUUGAUGAGAUAACACUGCACGCGAGGUCAUGCUCUUCGUGUGG